rnacentral:sRNA from 1 species
AACGCCGUACCAGCCGCGUCUCUCAGGACAGCAGGCCCCUGUCCUUCUGUCGGGCGCCGCUCAGCCGUGCCCUCCGCCCCUCAGGUCAGUUCUCCCGCCUGCCCGCCGCAGUCGCAGUUGAUGGCUGGGGUCUGGGCUGUGCGGGGCGCAGCGGCCCAAACCCAGUUUGCUCCUGGCUCUCGGGAGACUGGAGGAUUUCAUCGGAGCCCCGCGCUUUACCAGCCCUGUUCCCUGGAUAAGAUAUUUGACCUUUCCGACCCGCGGUUUUCUUCUCCGUUCUUUUUCUAAUUCCAAAUAAACUUGCAAGAGGACUAUGAAAGAUUAUGAUGAACUUCUCAAAUAUUAUGAAUUACAUGAAACUAUUGGGACAGAGUGAUUUGCCCCGGAUCAAAACGGAGAUUGAGGCCUUGAAGAACCUGAGACAUCAGCAUAUAUGUCAACUCUACCAUGUGCUAGAGACAGCCAACAAAAUAUUCAUGGUUCUUGAGUACUGCCCUGGAGGAGAGCUGUUUGACUAUAUAAUUUCCCAGGAUCGCCUGUCAGAAGAGGAGACCCGGGUUGUCUUCCGUCAGAUAGUAUCUGCUGUUGCUUACGUGCACAGCCAGGGCUACGCUCACAGGGACCUCAAGCCAGAAAAUUUGCUGUUUGAUGAAUAUCAUAAAUUAAAGCUGAUUGACUUUGGUCUCUGUGCAAAACCCAAGGGUAACAAGGAUUACCAUCUACAGACAUGCUGUGGGAGUCUGGCUUAUGCAGCACCUGAGUUAAUACAAGGCAAAUCAUAUCUUGGAUCAGAGGCAGAUGUUUGGAGCAUGGGCAUACUGUUAUAUGUUCUUAUGUGUGGAUUUCUACCAUUUGAUGAUGAUAAUGUAAUGGCUUUAUACAAGAAGAUUAUGAGAGGAAAAUAUGAUGUUCCCAAGUGGCUCUCUCCCAGUAGCAUUCUGCUUCUUCAACAAAUGCUGCAG